rnacentral:lncRNA from 1 species
CCGAUUGUUGUAGACUCCGCGUCGAUCGAUGCGAUUAUGUGUUCGUUGGUCGAUCUCGGUGAGUUGCCGUCGAUCGAUUUUGCCUUUGUCCUGUCGAUCGAUGCUGAUAUCUGAUGUUGAGCUGCGAGUUGCCUCUGAAUGGCUUUGACUUCUUUCUGUAGCCAUUCUGCGUGGUUGUCUAGUCCACUGAUUUUGUUGUCGAAUGGAAAGUAGAUGUCAUCG